rnacentral:rRNA from 1 species
GGUAAAUCUCGUGCCAGCCACCGCGGUCACACAAGAGACCCAAACUAAUCGUUCACGGCGUAAAGAGUGGACUCAUGCUUAUCGCAUUAAUUAAGGUCAAAACGCAGCUGAGCUGUCAUAAGCUUAAGGUGCACUUAAAACCGCCCUAAAUACGACCCUAAACUCAUACGACUCAAUGAACUCCACGAAAGCCAGGGUACAAACUGGGAUUAGAUACCCCACUAUGCCUGGCCCUAAAUCUUGAUGCUCUAUAUAACCAAAGCAUCCGCCUGAGAACUACGAGCACAAACGCUUAAAACUCUAAGGACUUGGCGGUGCCCCAAACCCACCUAGAGGAGCCUGUUCUGUAAUCGAUAACCCACGAUACACCCGACCACUUCUUGCCAAAAACAGCCUACAUACCGCCGUCGCCAGCUCACCUCUUCUGAGAGUACCACAGUGAGCACAACCGCUCUAACCCCGCUAACAAGACAGGUCAAGGUAUAGCCCAUGAAGUGGAAGAAAUGGGCUACAUUUUCUAACUUAGAAAAUCUCACGAAAAGGGGUAUGAAACAACCCCUGGAAGGUGGAUUUAGCAGUAAAGCGGGACAAUAUAGCCCCCUUUAAGCCGGCUCUGGGGCACGUACAUACCGCCCGUCACCCUCCUCAUAAGCUCUAAACUACUAAUAAAUAAUACCCC